CCCAGCUGUGGCGCAACUGGCUAGGGCACCUGCACCAUACGCCGGCGACCUGGGUUCGAUUCCCGCCCUGUGG
rnacentral:tRNA from 1 species